GACGAACCGUGCGAACGUUGUUCGGAUUCACUGGGCUUAAAGGGCGCGUAGGCGGGCGGUCAAGUCAGGGGUGAAAUCCCUCGGCUUAACCGAGGAACUGCCAUCCAGACUGCUUGGCUUGAGACCGGGAGAGGUGAGUGGAAUUCCCAGUGUAGCGGUGAAAUGCGUAGAUAUUGGGAGGAACACCAGUGGCGAAGGCGGCUCACUGGACCGGUACUGACGCUGAGGCGCGAAAGCGUGGGGAGCAAACGGG
rnacentral:rRNA from 1 species